UACGUAGGGUCCGAGCGUUGUCCGGAAUUACUGGGCGUAAAGAGCUCGUAGGUGGUUUGUCGCGUUGUUCGUGAAAACUCACAGCUCAACUGUGGGCGUGCGGGCGAUACGGGCAGACUAGAGUACUGCAGGGGAGACUGGAAUUCCUGGUGUAGCGGUGGAAUGCGCAGAUAUCAGGAGGAACACCGGUGGCGAAGGCGGGUCUCUGGGCAACAACUGACGCUGAGACGCGAAAGCGUGGGGAGCAAACAGG
rnacentral:rRNA from 1 species